UAUAACUAAAGUAAUUCUCUUGACUUUCAAUGUAGACAUUAAAAACUUUUGUUUUAUUGUAUUGGAUUUCAAUGGUGUUCGGGCCAACUAACACACACCUAUACUAAUUCCACGGUGUACCUACUAUCACCCACCAACACUGAUACCUGUAAUUUUGUCCACCAAGGCCUAUAUAAAUGGAAAGAAAUCAACUAGCUUUUUUGCCUUCACUGGGAUUUGAUUCGAGAAUACAUGUGUUGUCUCAGAAGGAAGAUGGAUGUGUUGCUGGUUUCUUGGAAGAGCGCUUGAACGUGGGUCUUAAUUUCAUUUUAUCAGCCGAGGUCGAUCACAAAAAGAAGACUACAAGUUUGGCUUUGGACUCACAGAUGAGGUAGUUUGAACAGGGAUUAGGUUUUGAUAUAUGAGCACAAGUAAGAUUGAAAGCAUCUUAGCAAGUGAUUUCUUUUCUCAACAUAAAAGAAUCGACUUUUCACUUACUUACUACUUAUUAAAUACCGGCUUGAACAAGGAAAUUGGUUCCUUACCUUCUCUAUUUCCUUCCCUGUGAUUGACUGCUUUUUCUUCAUUUUUCUGUACUUCAGGAGGAAGAGAUCGCUUGGUUCAACUUCCACUGGUGAUGGUGAUCCCUUCUUGAAAACAGUAUAUUCAGUUGAAUUUGAAUAUUCUAAUAAUAAGAUCGAAUCAAUUCCUAUUUGAAAAGAGGAAGUAUUUUUAUCAAGCUGACAUGGUUUCUAGAGCAUCCUUAUCAACUGGUGCAACUAGUCACUUGUAGUUGAUUUUGCAAUUUGAGACAUUCUUUAGAUAUGCACAAUAUAGUUGUGUAUAAUAGACAUACGACCCUUUCCUCAAUCUGCGCAUAGCGGGAAAUUAGUGCUUUUAGACGUUCUUUAGAAUUUGUAGAGUUGACUUUAUUCAGAUGGAGAGAUCUACCAUUCUGAUUUUAUUAUUUGUGACAUAUUUGGUUACUAUGUGCUUAAUAGUUAAUACUACAAAGGUAGUUGCAGUAAA